AACUUAGUAGUCAAUUAUGAUAUUAAACUGCAAAUUUAGAGGUGAAUUAGUUCCUAAGUCU
rnacentral:tRNA from 1 species